GAAAAAUUUAUUGCUAUUAGAUGAGCCUAUAUUAGAUUAGCUAGUUGGUGGAGUAAUAGCCUACCAAGGCAAUGAUCUAUAGCUGAUCUGAGAGGAUGAUCAGCCAUACUGGAACUGAGAUACGGUCCAGACUCCUACGGGAGGCAGCAGUGGGGAAUAUUGGACAAUGGGCGAAAGCCUGAUCCAGCCAUGCCGCAUGAGUGAAGAAGGCCUUUGGGUUGUAAAGCUCUUUUAGUGAGGAAGAUAAUGACGGUACUCACAGAAGAAGUCCUGGCUAACUCCGUGCCAGCAGCCGCGGUAAUACGGAGAGGGCUAGCGUUAUUCGGAAUUAUUGGGCGUAAAGGGCGCGUAGGCUGGUUAGUAAGUUAAAAGUGAAAUCCCGAGGCUUAACCUUGGAAUUGCUUUUAAAACUGCUAACCUAGAGAUUGAAAGAGGAUAGAGGAAUUCCUAGUGUAGAGGUGAAAUUCGUAAAUAUUAGGAGGAACACCAGUGGCGAAGGCGUCUAUCUGGUUCAAAUCUGACGCUGAGGCGCGAAGGCGUGGGGAGCAAACAGGAUUAGAUACCCUGGUAGUCCACGCUGUAAACGAUGAAUGUUAAAUAUGGGGAGUUUACUUUCUGUAUUACAGCUAACGCGUUAAACAUUCCGCCUGGGGACUACGGUCGCAAGAUUAAAACUCAAAGGAAUUGACGGGGACCCGCACAAGCGGUGGAGCAUGUGGUUUAAUUCGAUGCAACGCGAAAAACCUUACCACUCCUUGACAUGGAAAUUAUACCUAUUCGAAGGGAUAGGGU
rnacentral:rRNA from 1 species